AGAUGCGAAAUAGAUAUUACUAUGUUUGUUUACGGUACAAAAAGACGGUCAUCUU
rnacentral:tRNA from 1 species